AGUGCCGACUGCACAGUUUAUAUCAUAAAAAAAUUUUCAUAUAGGUAGCUGUGAAUUAAUAAAUGAACUGACCCCACACUCGUUAUAGCGUUAAAGAAUCAUUUACCUUACACUCGAGUUGGUACAAAAUAGAACUUUUCUGUGUUAGAGCACUCUGUUUCAUUCGUCACGAUUCACGCAGUAUAUGUUUUUUAUAAGGCAGUGACACUGUAGUUUCUUUAAAAAUUAUUAUUCGUUGCGGUUAUACAUAAUAUUAUCCAAAAACAUUCCAGAUCAGCGCUGUGCCGUGUGGUCUUUAAAUCUGAGGGUCUCGAAGUAGCUGUGUAAACAGUUUAAGUAGUGAGAAACUAGCUAAACAUCAGAAUUGAAAUGGAAAAUUAUAACUACGGGACCGUAACUAAAAUAGAUGAAGAAAAUAAAGACACAAAAGAGCAAUACACCAAUGCCUUAGUGAAAAAUACAAAACCGAAUUACUUAGAUGAAUCAAACAACAGCUAUCAGUCGAUCCACAAUUCUCAAAAGCCAUUCAAUGGGGAUGCAUAUAAUUUUAUUGAUACAAUGGCAAGAAUAUUCGAGUCGCAAGAGGACUUGUUGUUGAACUCAUUGUGUAGCAGCUGACUUCUGGAUGAGUUGAGGAAUAGCCGUGGAGUUUAAGAGAUAUGGGUGUGUCGGUCUUGGUUGGACCACCGUUUAUUACUGGGCAAGUAGGUGUUUUGCACAGUAAAACUGGGCAACACAUUUUCUACCCAGUAACUAGAGCCCGAAGCUUUUAAAAGCCAACACUAGAGGCAAUGGAAGCAGCUUUUCGAAAUAUUUAGUUAUUGACCUGGGCAUCUAGUAUUUGGCCAUGCCGAGAAUCGUAUACACCACAACAGAAGGAUUAACUAUAAAUAAUGGCACACCUUCAAAUAAUCCUCAACAAUACUUAAGUACUAAGCAAUAACGGUUGCAUUUAUCUAAAAGCAGUCGACACUAAUACUGUUGAAAAAAAAAACUGGCCUAAAUGUUUAAUACAAAUUUACUAUUACUUCCAUUCUUCUUCUUUAAAGCAUAUAGUUUAAAAGCCUGCCGAUCAAUCCAAAGUUUUCGUCGACCAAAUUAGGUGUGCAGCGGUUACAAGAAUAUCGAGAAUGUCAAUGUGAAGUUAGUUUGGGUAUUAUCAAUUCAAAUAUUACAUCAGCCAAAUUGGCUGUGCAGCGGAUGUGUCAGUAUCGACAGCGUUUACGUCAAACACAAUUUGAAGAUUUCGUGGUCAAUACUUCCUUCUCGUCAACUACGACAGACAAGUGAAAAGUAUGAAGCAUUUCCACAAUUGAAAAGACCAAGUGAUCAAGGAUCAAGUGCGAAAGAAACAGAAAGACAAACACUUUGAGGAAACGCUCAUGCUUGUAGCAAACCCAGUUUCUAAACCAUCUUUGUCUGUAGUUGAAAAAUGAAGCCGUUUGUGCGUAGGUUCUGACUGAAACGUAUGAUCGAUAUUGUUGAUCGUAUAUUUUAUUUGUGCUUAAUGUUUUACAUAAUAGAUUUUACUUUUUGUAGAAAUACAAAGAUAAAUAUCUAGCAUAAAAAAUACAAUAACAAAAAAAAAUACCUAAGUAUCAUUAUUAAUUCUGGCAUAAAACAUAAUAUUAUAUCUAAUUUGUCACUUAACUCUUAGAGCAA